AAGUUUGAAGUAAAAUUUACAUUUAGUUUCGACCUAAAAUUUAGUCUUUUCAUAGACUCUAACUUU
rnacentral:tRNA from 1 species